GUAGGAUUUUACCCCCUUUCACAGAUGAGGGUACUGAGAAUCAGAGAGACAUUUGCCAACUGCCCUAAGAUCACAGCAUUAGUGGUGGAGCUGAGAUUUGUGUCCAAGAUGGUCCCAUGAAGACGAUCAGCUGUAACUAUAUGGAGCAAGAAUAUUAUUCAGAUAUUAUUCAGUGGUUGCAAAAAGCAAUAAAUAAUUCAGUCUGAGAUUUUGACUGGCUAAGAGAGAAAAAGGCAGGAGGAGAAAACUGGAAGAAGAACAGAGGAGUUAGCAGGUGGCCCCCAGAACUGGUGUGGUGCGUGUCCCUCCAUUACUCUGCAGGCUCUCAGACGGUCGGUCUCAACUUCCACUGCACAUUGGAACCACACAGGAGGCUUAAAGAAAGUGAUUGAUGCCUGGCUCCUCCAGGGACCACAUCUUUUUUCUCUUCUUGUCUCUGGGAUUUGGCAUAAUGCCUGUCCUGUAAUGAAGAUUCAGCAGUCGAUGACCAGGGCUAAGAACUUGCUCCAGACCACGAGCCUCCCCUUUGAGAACGCAAGUAGACUCACAGUUUUUCAGCAUCUCAAGGAGCCUGCAGUGGUGAUCCAGUUCCUUCAAAGGGUCUGUGGAUUCUCUCGGCUUUCCUGGGUCAAAUCAGAAACCUGAUUGAUGAAUGGCUCUGAGUGUCAAUGCUAAAUAUCAGGGGGCCCGGCACGAUGGCUCACACCUGUAAUCCUGGCACUUUGUGAAGCCAAGGGUCUCCACUCGGUGCUUGCCAUUGCGGACUUCCAUGUGCUCUCCAGGGGCCAACAGACAGGAAGAGGAUAAAGCUGAACGGACAGCAUGCUUCCGCCUUCCUGCCGAGAUAAUGAACUGAAGGAGGCAGAGAAGCUGGGGCCACCUGAAGGACGACCAGCAGCCCUAUCUAAACCGUCCAGAGCGCAGGCUGCCAUGGGCGAGCUGUUUAUCGACAGCCACAUGUUCCCGAUUGCAGGCUACUGCAUGGCUACAAUUAGACUUUUUGACUGAUGGCCAGUUUAAUGAGCCUAUUUACAGAGGGUCAUUCAACAUAGCAAUUACACCUAUAAAUCUAUUUGCAGCAGGACUCGAAUAACCUUCUGCACACAGCCUUGUAUAAAACUGCUGUCUGAUUAAUUAACAUUAAUUUCCCCGCCGUAUGGAACCAGCUGCAGUUGGUGUAAAUGCUUCCAGCUCCUCUCGGCAGGCCCCCUGUGAAUGGCAGGGGUUCUCAUGGUGGGGGUAACGUUUCACGGGCUGGGAGGGAGGGAAGGGCCGGGAGUUGUGUUGUUGCUGUUCCAAAGAAACGCUUAGUUUUUCUUCCAUCCCUCUGUUCUUUCUCUGGUCCUGUUUGAUUGAUGUUUCAGGGCAGUGUCAUAUAUAGGGGGCAAAAUUCAAUUAAUUGGAUAUGAAAUAUUUAUAACCCUGCUGUAUGUGUCUAUCAGAAAAGAGCCCUUAAUAGAUCUUCUCAUUAGCAUGAGCUGGUGACUCAUUUCUCCGCUUUCACAGUCAUUCAGAAUUAAAAUCCAAUUAAUCUAAUAUCCCUGUGAAUGUUAUUAAAUUAUUGGAAAAACUGCAUUCAGGAGAUAGGGUGAGGGGAAGGAGCCGGCCUGGUGGGUUCUCAUUUCCUCUCUGCAAAGCACACAAUGCCAGGGGGACCAGCCCCUCUUCCUUUGGGCGCUCAGCUUCCCGCUUUUGGGUUGUGUCUACACUUGGCAAAUAAAGCACCGGAUUGUGAAUCAGGGACUCUCAGCUGCCAAUGCUAACACUGCCAAAGCUAAUAACACAACAACAACAACAACAACAGAAGCAGCAGCAGCAUCAACAAAACCCAGAACACCGGUUUCUGAAACCAGCAAAGUAUUUGCAAAAUGCAAGAUUGUAAUUAAGUGAAAAGGUAAGAUUUGCACUGUUUUAAGCAGCUCUAAAAGAAAUGAGUCUCUUUAAGGUGGAAGCAGCUUUAAGAAGGAAGACUGAAUUGGAAGCUCCCAGGCUCCAUGCAAUUCUAGAAUGCUGUGAUUUUAUGAAUUCUUAGUCUGAGGACCCUGUGAAAAAGUCAGGAAGAACAGUCUAUGAUUUUACAGAAGUGAUGAGUUGAACAAAAAGCUAAAGGCUCCUUGUAUUUGGAAAAACAGGGACCAUUGCUAUCAUUAUUAACAAAUGUUUGCAUCACAGGGCAUUUCCUUUGUCCAGUGGUACAUGGAGACACUUGAAAUUUUUUGCAUUUUUUUGGAAAGGGAGAGAGAAAAAAUUAUGGCAAUUAUGGUAAGCAGUGUCCUGAAGUUCUGCCGAUCAACUGAUAUUAUGACGUUGUGGCCCAUAAUUUGGAGGUCACCAACUCUAGACUUUAGUUAUGACCAUGACAUAAGGAUUCUAGAAACUCCUGAGAGGGCUCUUAAAUCCCUCUCUCCUUGCAGAAUCCGACACUGAAGUUGGACCAACAUUGACUGAGUUCCUACUGUAUGUCCGGGACUGUGCCAGGAGCAAGGGGUUACAGUGCUAUGGAUUACAUAAACAUUUAUAAACGGAAAUGCUCCCCAAAGAAUGUGAUGAUGAAAAAGACUUGGCUCCUGGCUUUGAGAGGCUUCUAAGUAUGUAAACUGAUAAUUUAAAAUAUGAUGGGCUGUCUCACUGCAAAGCAAUGAUAAAUGCAUGAGGUGCUGGAUAUGCUAACUACUCUGAUUUAAUCAUUAUACAACGCAUGUAUGUAUUGAAACAUCAAACUUUACCCAUAAAAUGUGUAAUUACGAUGUGUCAAUUUAAAACAAUUUAAGAAAUAGAAUGGUUUGAAACGCUUUGCUACUGGAGCAUAGCAGGGUGAUGGAGGGGUGUCAGGGAGAUCUUCCUGGGACACGUACACUGACUCUGGGGUGUAAUGGGGCUGUGUUCCUGGGCGGGCUUAGACUGUUUCUGUAAUUAUGACAGCUUUCUCCUUCUUGCUGUAGUUUUGUCUUUUCAAGAAUGUCCUAUGAAUAUUUGAUAUGAUUUGGAUGUCGUCCCCUCAAAACCUCAUGUUGAAGUGCAAUCCGCAGUGUUAAAAUUGGAGACUGGUGGGCAGUGUUUGGGUCACAGGGGCGGAUCCCUCAUGGCUUGGUGCUGUCUUUGCGAUAGUGAGUUCUCCCGAGAUCUGGUUGAAGAAAAAUGUGUGGCACCUCCCUUCUCCCUCUCUCUCUUCCUCCCACUCUUGCCAUGUAAGACACCAGCUCCCCUUUCAUCUUCUGCCAUGAUUGUAAGCUUCCUGAGGCCUCCCCAGAAGCUGAGCAGGUGCUGCCACCAUGCUUCCUGUAGCAUUGCAGAACCAUGAACCAAUAAAACCUCUUUUCUUUAUAAAUU